AUGUAUCCUUUCUAUGAACACAAAUUCAAGUACUCCCUCCGUACGAAAAUACUUGUCUUAGAAAUGGAUAAAAUGGAAGAAUCUAUAACUAAAAUAAGUCUAGAUACAACCAUUUCUAGGACAAGUAUUUCCGAACGGAGGGAGUACAUGAUAGCAUUGAAAUUUUUUUUUCUGCUGCUUAGUGGCGUUGGAUCUGAACUGCAGCUUACUGAACCUGAUGGAACGAAGCCGCUCUGGCAGAGCUGUAAUGUUGUGGCUGUUUUGAGAUUCAUAGGUCUAAGGAGGAUAGAUGAGGAGGGAAAGGAUUUCGAGCUGUGA
rnacentral:rRNA from 1 species